CCUGUUGCUUACAGAUCGUAAUGCUUGAUUUAUAUUGCUGUUUGUUUUGAUACUGGGGUUUAAACCCUGGAGUGCUUUACUACUGUGCCAGAUCCUCAGUCUUUUUUUUUAAUUUUUAGAAAGAGCCUUGCUGUCUUGCCGAGAUGGAGCUCUAACUUGUGAUCUUCUUGCCUCAGCUUCUGAGCUGCUAGGAUUAUGGAUGUGCUCCACCGUACCUGCCUGCGAGUAACGCCAGGAAAGUCAGACAGCUUCUACUGUCAUCUUCAACCUCCUCCCUCCACUUUGGUUUACAUUGAAUAAAGAAUAUUUUCAGGACCACAGGAUUAUCUGAGGGUAACAAAACUAUCCCCUUUCUACACAAUUAUUCUGCUCACUCGGAGGAAAGGGGUGGUAUCUGUGAACAGUAUCUCAAUCUGCCAGCCACCAAAUAUUAACUCCCUGAGUCAGCUUAUAGAAAAAGUGUUAUUCAAGAUAGGACAUUUUACUGCAUGUGAGGUUUAAUGAGAAACUACACUUAUCAGGCACAUAAUAUUCAGGAAUUCUCAUUCCAUCCUUACAGUAAAUACCUAAUUUUAAAUAUUGCUUAUGCCUGGUAUUCUAUCCAAAUCAAACUCUAAAAUUUACAGUUCAGCAAAAAUUUGGGUCUGAAACCAUGUCAGCAAAAGUAUCUUUUAUUUUAAUAAAGACUUUUUUGGGCUUGAGAAUAAAUCUUACAUACUCGGAUACACUGGGGAAAGGGGAAAGGGCAGUUUUCUUUUUAGCCUCUGGAUAAAUAGAGAAAAUAGAAGGUUGGCUGCAGAGAGACAAAGAAAGUAGAACUGUGUUAGUAAAAAUGUGUUAAUGGGGUAGAAGUCAGGGCCCGUGCUCUGACCGGUACUGACACAUCAAAAGGCACUGUUUGCAGAAGGGAGGGAGAGGAUUUCUGGAGAAUGACAAAACCAUUUGAGAGAGCACAGCUAAAGCCUGGCUCACUAGUUGAUUGUGCUGACAGGUGGCCAUGUUCUGCUCCUCAGAAACCAUGGACCCAAACAUGCUUUAUCCCAUGUUCAGGACAAACCAGCUCCCAGCCCCAAGCCAGCCUGCCAUCAGGAACUUUAUCAGUGGAGCAACUUCUUGAGCAACUUUUGACUGCAACAGCACUGCAACAACUUUAAUGUGUUGAGUAUCAUAUUUCAGUGACAAGGAAAGAGACCAGACAAAUUUUGAUACCAGGAAAGUGGUGCUGUUGUUUGGACUACACCUAAUCGUGUGGUUCAGAAGCCUCUUUGGAACUGUACAUGGGAGGAAUUUGGAAUGAUUUUGAGAUGCAGCUGUAGAAAUAGCCCUAAAAUGCUAUAAACCAAGCUUGAUGAGAGAUUCUUCUUGGAGUUCCUAGAAAUGCAGAUGAUAAAGACCAGGCUCAGGAGGCUUCCAUUUGGAACAAGUAUUCUAUUUGCAAUUGGACUGAAAACCAUGCAUAUUAUGGUCUGGUAGAAAGUUUGACUACAUUUUGCCAAUGUCCAGACCUCGUAGGAGAGUCAGAUAAACAACAAUGAACUAAUAAAUGUAGUGGAGAGAAUUUCAAGACUAUCUAUUGGGCAUGGGUACUGUUGGGGACCUUUAGCCAACUCUACACUGAAAAUCAAGAGCAAAUGGCACAGCUGAAUGAUGUAAAAAGUUUUGAAUUUGAGAAGAAGGGAAACUCUAGUAAAGUUAGGGCCUGUAAAGUUGGACUAGAGGAGACUUUGUUUACUAAAAUGAUUAACAUAAAAAGGAAGCCAAGUUCCUUACAACAAGACAAUAGGAAAAAGGGCUUAAGGCCAUGAGCUGAGCCAGUAAUGUGCCACUCUUGCAUGUUUAAAAUGCCAAAAGUGAAAGACUUUGAUUUGAGAAGAGAGCCUCAGGUCACCAUACUGGAGACAGUCUACCUAUGGAAUUUGUUCCUCAGGACUCCAUUUGUAGUGGUCAACCCUCCAGGCACUCACAGAGCCUGCAGUCAUGAUCCAAGGAAGCCUGGAUGCUGCUCCAUCUGGAGGCAGAUCUUGAUGUCAUUCAUCCAUAUGGUACUGGUUUAUAGACGCGCAGAGCAGAAGAGAGCUGUGGGGUCAAAAAUGCUCCUACCCAGACUUCAAAAAAAGGUCUCAGAAGCCAGGCAACGUGCCCCUUGAGACAGCAAUGCAUUGAGCUGUGAGAGAGAAGCUGCAAGUGCACUGGAGAGCACAAGGUGUUGCAGAAGUCCAAUGUGGAACAUAUGAGGAAAGUCACAUGGACUGAUCAAAACCAGCCCAAAAGUAAGCCAUCGGCAAUGAUGCAACCAUUGGCAAUGAUGUAUGAGCAGGUUGUCCAAGCCCUUUAGAGUUCACAUAUCAUCACCACUUACUGUGGGUGCUGGACAAGGAAUUAUAGGAUUGACCUACCCCCUCUCUGCCCCCCCCCGCGAUCCCUCCCUUUUGGAAUGGAAAUGUUUACACUUUUCACUGUACAAUGUAAAUGUUUAACUUUUAUUUUUACAGGGCUUACAUGUAAGUCUUUUCUUUGAAUUUCAGAGAUGUAGGACUUGAACCUUUCAGCAAUGCUGAAACUGUCAGUACUUUGGCAACUCUUAGAGAUAGACAAAAUGUAUUUUACAUAACUGGACACACAUGAUGCUUUUAGGCGAUAGGGGUGAAAUGCCAUGGCUUAUAUCCACAUGUCCUCCAAGUUUGGUGCACUCACAGACAGGGCUAUUGGAAGAUGAUUGGGUUAUGGAAAUGUAUAGCUGGUUUGCUGUUAAGAGUUUCAGCCUGAUUGGAAGAGGCAGGUCACUGGGGGUGUGACCUAAAAGGGUCUCACUUCCUUCCCAGCUUCUCCUUUCACUCUGCUUUCUAGCCACCAUGCUGUGGGCAACUUUUCCUCUGUCACUAGUGCUCAGAUGUCCUUCCUUGGAGUCAGCUGAGCAUUGAAGGACUAAUACUGCUGAAAUGUGAGCCAAAUAAAUCUCUCCUCCUUUAUUUUUAAA